rnacentral:rRNA from 1 species
UGGGGAAUAUUGGACAAUGGGCGAAAGCCUGAUCCAGCCAUGCCGCGUGUGUGAAGAAGGUCUUCGGAUUGUAAAGCACUUUAAAGUUGGGAGGAAGGGCAGUAAGCUAAUACCUUGCUGUUUUGACGUUACCGACAGAAUAAGCACCGGCUAACUUCGUGCCAGCAGCCGCGGUAAUACGAAGGGUGCAAGCGUUAAUCGGAAUUACUGGGCGUAAAGCGCGCGUAGGUGGUUUGAUAAGUUGGAUGUGAAAGCCCCGGGCUCAACCUGGGAAUUGCAUCCAAAACUGUCUGGCUAGAGUAUGGCAGAGGGUGGUGGAAUUUCCUGUGUAGCGGUGAAAUGCGUAGAUAUAGGAAGGAACACCAGUGGCGAAGGCGACCACCUGGGCUAAUACUGACACUGAGGUGCGAAAGCGUGGGGAGCAAAACAGGAUUAGAUACCCUGGUAG